GGACUGAUAGCUCAGUGGAUAGAGCACCCGCCUUCUAAGCGGGUGGUCGUAGGUUCGAAUCCUACUCAGUCCGCCA
rnacentral:tRNA from 1 species